UUGAUUUCAAUGCACAAUUGAAGGGUCGUUUCAGAUUCAUUUUCCUUUCCCAAAUUUCUCAGUUUUCCCACACAAUAUUCUUUCAAAUUUAUUUCUCUUUGCAAAUACAUCUUUACCAAUACGAAUUUUCGUUACCGAUGCAACUUUUCUUUCCCUUCUUCUCUCUUCCUCUUCACUUCUUCUGUCUUCUGCUUCCUCUCUAUUCUUUUUCUUCUUUAUUCUUUCUUGCUUUUUUUCAACAAAAAUGAUACUUUUAUCAUUCUCUGCUUAGAUCUACAAAGUCGAUUAUGUUGUUGUUGAUUUUUUUUUUGUUGUAGAUUUCGAUAAAUUAGAUUUCCAACCUACUGCGAGAUGCACGGUGGUGGUGGUUGUAUUUCUCUCUUCUUUUUUAUUUCUACUGAUGGUGUUCACUUUGUUUGUGAAGGUUUGAAAGCGGCGCCAUGGAAGUUAUUUGAAUAGGAAUUUAACACCGGUUCUGUCGAGAUGUUCAAAGCGCCGACAUGUCAAUACCAUCGGUUCUGUUUCAGUGUAUCUAUUGAAGAAGUUUAUAAAGUAAGCUCAAUCUUUGAAUUUUAGGGUUUGUUACAAUUCGCCGACUUUCAUCUGGAGAGUUCAUAUCUAAAAGGGUUACUAUUAUUUACAUUUUAUUAAUCUCUUUACAGUCAGAUUAUAAUAAUUUUUAUUUAUGCUUUGGUGCUUUCACCUGUUUUCAUCUCAAAUUGAGAAGGUCAUACAUGGUGGAUAUCAAAGGUCAUCCCCUGCAUUCCCGGUCACGAAGUUGUAGGGAUUGUUGAAAGUGUUGGAGAAUGCAUGUAACCAUUUUGCCAACAUUAAUUUUAAACAAUGUGAAGGGUGGAGACUGCAGCUGCAAUGACACUUGGGGUAGUUACGAUUGUAUUGGUAUGACAUUAAAUCUUAAUUAUAACAAAAUAUUUCACUCCAUAGUUUAUAGUCCAAAGUUAUAAUUUUUGUUUUCAUAUUUGCAUAAAGAAAUGGAUCAAAAUUUGGGAAGAUAUGGUCCAAGGUUAUAGUUUUUGUUUAAUAUGUAACAAUUUUUCUUGUGAAACAUAUACCUAAUUUUAUAAUAUGGAAGCAAGUCUUGAAAAUAUCGUCAUUGGUUGCGGAAGAUAAAACUUAGAGAUUCAACCUUGAAUAACGAUACAUCAUUGGGGUACCAGCAGGGACACCAUUGUAUUUGGUUAAUAGAGAUGAGAAUGAGAAGAUUCUUAUUGUCAUGUUUCACUUGCCAAUUUCAUCUGGUUAUGCACUGGUUUAUCCCGAGGUUAUAACUUUUAACAAGUUAUUAGUAACGAUUUCACCUUCUCAGGAAUAAGUUAUUAAUAACGAUUUCUGAUCCAAACUCUUUGCUAAAUUCCUUCCAUCCUCAUGAGUGUCUUUGUUUUUGUUUACAUUAUUUUAUUGUACUCUUUUCCUUUUAAUUACACUGGCUAGGGGAUAAAUAUUUCUUGAGAGGUUCUGAAGGAAAUGACAUUCACAAGACAUAUGUUUCCAAUUUGAGGAUCUCUUUCCGAUAUGAGGUUGAAAGUUCAACACAAACUUUUUAUUUUAUUUGUGCUGUUUGGUUUAGUUAUUCUUUAAUGAUUACCAUUCUUAUGUAAUUUUGUGAUUAAGAUUUAUUGGUGCCUAUGCAAACAUGGAAGGAUGAAAUGCAAUAUAUUUACUUUGGUCAAGCCACCUUUCUGAUGAUGUAGAUCCAUAAAACCAGUUAAAUGAAACCCACCAUUCAUUUUGCGAUCUUAAAUGAUAACAUUAGUGCUUUAGUCAGUUAUCUUUUGAUGAGCAGCAGUUUUUGCAGUGACAAUAUAUUAUUCCUUUAAGUUUUGUCAUACCUGUGUUUUAACAUCAUUAGCAAGCCAAUGAUAAUAUUGAUAAGCAUCAGCAUUGAUGGGUGGUACCUCACUGAUGCAGUGAGGGUGAACAUGGAUAUCAAUUUUAUGUUAUUGAUGAUAGAUAGAUCUUCAGAGAGAAUUAUUUCAUUCUCUUUUGGAAAAUGUUGUCUUAACAAAGGUGUUUCCGGAACUAUAUACAUCCGAAAAGUGGUUUAUGGAGAAGACCGGUUGCUCAUUGUGCAGUCAGAAAAAAUUGAUGAGCUUAAAAUGUUGCGUUUUAAGCUGACAGUUAUGUGUUUGAUUGUCAAACUUCAAAUUAUUUUUUAUUUGCAAUAGGUCUGUUAAAGGUUUAUUUUAAUCAAAUUAUUAUAUAUGAUUAUUUCUUUGUCAAUAGAGGCCAACAAUGCAUAUAUAUUUUUUACGAUUUUGGUUUGUCAAUAAAGGCCAACAAUGUAUAUAUAUUUUUUGCGA